ACUGCUCAGUAACACGUGGAUAACCUGCCCUAAGGAAGGGGAUAACCUCGGGAAACUGAGGAUAAUACCCUAUAGGUUACAGACGCUGGAAUGCCCUGUAACCGAAAGUUCCGGCGCCUUAGGAUGGAUCUGCGGCCGAUUAGGUUGUUGUUGGGGUAACGGCCCAACAAGCCGAUAAUCGGUACGAGUUGUGGGAGCAAGAGCCCGGAGUUGGAUUCUGAGACAUGAAUCCAGGCCCUACGGGGCGCAGCAGGCGCGAAAACUUUACAAUGCGGGAAACCGUGAUAAGGGAACCCCGAGUGCCUGUAUAUGCAGGCUGUCCAGGUGUCUAAAAAACACCUGAAGAAAGGGCCGGGCAAGACCGGUGCCAGCCGCCGCGGUAAUACCGGCGGCUCGAGUGGUGGCCACUUUUAUUGGGCUUAAAGCGUUCGUAGCUGGGUCGUUAAGUCUCUUGGGAAAUCUGACGGCUCAACCGUCAGGCGUCCAAGGGAUACUGGCAAUCUUGGAACCGGGAGAGGUGAGGGGUACUUCGGGGGUAGGAGUGAAAUCCUGUAAUCCUCGAGGGACCACCUGUGGCGAAGGCGCCUCACCAGAACGGCUUCGACAGUGAGGGACGAAAGCUGGGGGAGCAAACCGGAUUAGAUACCCGGGUAGUCCCAGCCGUAAACGAUGCGCGUUAGGUGUAUCGGUGACCACGAGUCACCGAGGUGCCGAAGGGAAACCGUGAAACGUGCCGCCUGGGAAGUACGGUCGCAAGGCUGAAACUUAAAGGAAUUGGCGGGGGAGCAC
rnacentral:rRNA from 1 species